rnacentral:sRNA from 1 species
GUCGUGAGAUGUUGGGUUAAGUCCCGCAACGAGCGCAACCCUUGUCCCUAGUUGCUACGCAAGGGCACUCUAGGGAGACUGCCGGUGACAAACCGGAGGAAGGUGGGGAUGACGUCAAGUCCUCAUGGCCCUUAUGGGUAGGGCUUCACACGUCAUACAAUGGCCGGUACAGAGGGUUGCCAACCCGCGAGGGGGAGCCAAUCCCAGAAAGCCGGUCGUAGUCCGGAUUGCAGUCUGCAACUCGACUGCAUGAAGUCGGAAUCGCUAGUAAUCGCGGAUCAGCAUGCCGCGGUGAAUACGUUCCCGGGUCUUGUACACACCGCCCGUCACACCAUGGGAGCGGGAUGUACCAGAAGCAGCUAGCCUAACCGCAAGGGGGGCGGUUGCCACGGUGCGUUUCGUGACUGGGGUGAAGUCGUAACAAGGUAGCCGUAUCGGAAGGUGCGGCUGGAUCACCUCCUUUCUCGGAACGCCCUCGUGUUCCAGUGCUCACGCUUAUCGGUUGUUGCCAAGGUGACAGGAAACGGAAUCAAGGGGCACGGUGCAUCAAUGCGGGUUGCCGCGACACCUGCCGUUCCUCAAUCCCGACCUCUGUGACCUGACAGGGGCCUGUAGCUCAGUUGGUUAGAGCACCGUCUUGAUAAGGCGGGGGUCGAUGGUUCGAAUCCAUCCAGACCCACCACUGACAUCGCGGCGAAGGGUCGCGAGCCAGGCGAGGCGCGAAGGACCGACGUGUACAAGGCGUACACGAGGGCCUGAGCAACGAAGAAUGGCGAAGUGAGAGGGGCUGUAGCUCAGUUGGGAGAGCACCUGCUUUGCAAGCAGGGGGUCGUCGGUUCGAUCCCGUCCAGCUCCACCAAUCGGGUGCCGGACCCGGCCGUUGUGUCGGUGGCGCCAGAAUCCAUAAGCAAGCGGCAUUGACGCUGUUUGCUUCUGGUUUCUUGAACCAGUGUUAUCGGUUGUUCUUUAACAAUACGGAAGAAGUAAAGCAAAUCUUGCUCGACGAGCAGGACGGACGGCGCAAGCCUUCUUUCCGGCGCGUGGGGCGGGAUGGGUUAGAUUGUAUCGAUCCGCUGUUCUCUUGAGUUCGGGAGCGGCGGAUAGCGCAAACACCCGUAACCUGAGUGGCAGCAGUGCUCAGCGUUAUGGGGUCAAGCGACUAAGUGCAUGUGGUGGAUGCCUUGGCGAUCACAGGCGACGAAGGACGUGGCAGCCUGCGAAAAGCUGCGGGGAGCUGGCAAACGAGCAUUGAUCCGCAGAUGU